rnacentral:rRNA from 1 species
UACGUAGGGGGCAAGCGUUGUCCGGAUUUAUUGGGCGUAAAGAGCGUGUAGGCGGUUUGGUAGGUCCGUUGUGAAAACUCGAGGCUCAACCUCGAGACGCCGAUGGAAACCAUCAGACUAGAGUCCGGAAGAGGAGAGUGGAAUUCCUGGUGUAGCGGUGAAAUGCGCAGAUAUCAGGAGGAACACCGGUGGCGAAGGCGGGUCUCUGGGCCAAUACUGACGCUGAGGAGCGAAAGCGUGGGGAGCGAACAGG